rnacentral:lncRNA from 1 species
GGGAAUAAGAGAAAGAAAAGCGAGAGAUGCAGAAUGCCUUCCUUCGUAAAGUUAAAAAUACGACAGAGACAUCCAUAAAAAUAGACAAGACACACCCAAAAAUGGCGACAAAGUCGACCCACAAUCUGUCCCUAACUCUGUGCUUUGCAUUUCACUGACAUAAGGUAACUAGAAGUUCUUCUCUGAACGCAGAAGUAUUACAACAGAAGAAACAAGAACCCAUCCUCGAGAAAGAGAGGCGGUCACCAGUAGUAGAGUUGCAGAGUCGAAUCGUACAUUUACAGAGACACCUGAGGACUACCCUUGCUCGGCAGCGAGCACCCGCUGAUCUUGAGCAGCGGGGCAGAGGCCGGCACCUCUGCGACGCGGCUUCUCUUCCUUCCGAGCCCUGCUGCCGAUGCUAUUCCGGCCACUUUCUUCACAACCAUCCCGACGAUCCUGACUUUGACCUGCCCUCUCUUGGGAGGCAGCCUCGCCUCCGAAUUCUCACUCGAGGCCUUCUUCGUGGCGCCUGGAUUCGACAUUUUAUGGGUCACCCUCUCUCCGCAACAGAGUAAUCUCGUCGGGGUUAUCAGAGAUGAGCAAGCAGAGAGAGGUAAGAGAGAGCAGAGGAAGAGGAGGUGCGGUCGCCUG